GUGUCAGCAGCCGCGGUAAAACCAGCACCUCAAGUGGUCAGGAUGAUUAUUGGGCCUAAAGCAUCCGUAGCCGGCUCUGUAAGUUUUCGGUUAAAUCUGUACGCUCAACGUACAGGCUGCUGGAAAUACUGCAGAGCUAGGGAGUGGGAGAGGUAGACGGUACUCGGGAGGAAGUGGUAAAAUGCUUUGAUCUCUCGAUGACCACCUGUGGCGAAGGCGGUCUACCAGAACACGUCCGACGGUGAGGGAUGAAAGCUGGGGGAGCAAACCGGAUUAGAUACCCGGGUAGUCCCAGCUGUAAACUAUGCAAACUCAGUGAUGCACUGGCUUAUGGCCAGUGCAGUGUUGCAGGGAAGCCGUUAAGUUUGCCGCCUGGGAAGUACGUACGCAAGUAUGAAACUUAAAGGAAUUGGCGGGGGAGCACCACAAGGGGUGAAGCCUGCGGUUCAAUUGGAGUCAACGCCAGAAAUCUUACCCGGAGAGACAGCAGAAUGAAGGUCAAGCUGAAGACUUUACCAGACAAGCUGAGAGGUGGUGCAUGGCCGUCGCCAGCUCGUGCCGUGAGAUGUCCUGUUAAGUCAGGUAACGAGCGAGAUCCCUGCCUCUAGUUGCCACCAUUACUCUCAGGAGUAGUGGGGCGAAUUAGCGGGACCGCCGUAGUUAAUGCGGAGGAAGGAAGGGGCCACGGCAGGUCAGUAUGCCCCGAAACUCUGGGGCCACACGCGGGCUGCAAUGGUAACGACAAUGUGUUCCAAAUCCGAAAGGAAGAGGUAAUCCUCAAACGUUACCACAGUUAUGACUGAGGGCUGCAACUCGCCCUCACGAAUAUGGAAUCCCUAGUAACUGCGUGUCAUUAUCGCGCGGUGAAUACGUCCCUGCUCCUUGCACACACCGCCCGUC
rnacentral:rRNA from 1 species